UACGGGGGGAGCAAGCGUUGUUCGGAUUUACUGGGCGUAAAGGGCGCGUAGGCGGCCACCGCAAGUCACUUGUGAAAUCUCCGGGCUUAACCCGGAAAGGUCAACUGAUACUGCGGGGCUAGAGUGCAGAAGGGGCAACUGGAAUUCUCGGUGUAGCGGUGAAAUGCGUAGAUAUCGAGAGGAACACCUGAGGCGAAGGCGGGCUACUGGGCCGAUACUGACGCUGAUGCGCGAAAGCCAGGGGAGCGAACGGG
rnacentral:rRNA from 1 species